UGUGCACACGGGCUUAGAUAGCCUGAACCAU
rnacentral:piRNA from 1 species